CCCCAGACCCCUCGGCGCCCCGCGAUUCCCCUCUCUCCACCCUUCACCUUCAGAUCGUAGUUUGCGUCCCGGGUGCGAAUAGCUCCCCACCGCCCUUUCUUUGUUAGCCGCUCCCUUGCUUUGGGCAGCUCCUUCUCGGGCCCCCGGCUCCCUUGUUUUUCCAGCUGUCCACUCCAUAGCCUGCUGUGAAGCCCGUUACUUUUUGCUUUAUCCAUCUUGGUGCGUUCUCACUUGCCCGUCCCUGGGCCCUCUCCUUCCCUUUCUUCCAGAGCUCUUUAGUUCCACUCACCACGCCCUUCCCCCAAGUCCCGUCCUCCGGACCUUUGCCUUCCAGUCUUUUCUUUCUUCCCCCUUCUCUCUCCUCCCCAUCUUCAUCUUUCUUUGCCUCCUUUCCUCCCCCCCCCCAUGUUUUAAAGCCGCCAGAGCUGAGCGCAGAGGAGUUGUGUCUUGAAGAAGAAAAGACUUUGAGGAACGCUCGGCCUGAUCGCUUCAGGAAGGGGACAAAGAGGACAGGCCGGGGUAGUCACUUGUAUUAAAAGUGGGAUAUGGUGCAACAUUCUGCUUAACGUUUGGGGGACGUCUGCGCUUCCGCAGGGGCAGAAGGUAAGGCGCUGGUGCUCGCACGGCGUCAGCAGCACCAAGGACAGCGCCCAGACCCGCAGGAGUCCCUGGAGGUGGGCUUCCGCCCGGCCUCGCCCUUCAGCUUGGCAGGGGGAGGGGGCUCCCUGCCCCAUCUCUCCCGGAGUAAAGAUAAGUGAAGCUUGCUUGCAGCGGCUCUCUUUGCAGGAGCCAAGCUGGAAUCCCACGCUAGGGCUUCUCUGCAAUGCAGAGUUGGCACAAUGCACAGACUGCAGAUUUUGAAGAGAUGAAAUUCAUGAAAGUCAGUUAACAGAAAUCUAGUCUGGAAGCGCAGUAUGAAUUUUCUAAUAUAUGGUGGAUGCAGGGACUCCGGAGACACAAGGCCUGGAAUUUGAAGGUCAAAUAUUCCUUGAGAAGAAAUUUUGAAAUCUGUAGAGAGCAAAUAUCCAGGGAAAUAGUUUAUAACAAGUUUGAAAACAAAUUGCUAUUAUCUGCUGGCUCAGUACUUUUUAUGAGUCAGUGCAGUGAUUAAAAGGGCACUCGAAUUAAUUUUAAGUGAAUCUAAAAUUUGCCUAACAGUCUCAUUACAGCCUUAAAUAAAGCAAGAUGGUUUUGUCCUCCGUUGUGGAUUUUAGUAACUGAUUUGGGAUACAUGUGCCUUGUUUUUCAACAUGUUACUUCCAUAAGGACUUUACACAAACUUCUUUCUGCACGGUGCAUCCCUAAUUGUUAAAUGUCCUUUUUAUUCUGGGUAGUGCUUUUGGGGGUAAUUCAGGGUUAAAAAGGUUCAGCAUACUGCAAGAGCAAAUGAGGGACAGAUGCAGGACUGAUGAAGAUGCUGGGGCCACACAUCCAAGUGACUGAGUGUGAAGGAAUCACUGUAAAAAGAAGAGACCCUGGACUCAACUGGCUUCUUUUCACAGCAAGCUUUAUAGUAGAGUCCUUUAAAUGACAGAGUUGUAUUGAUCAGUAAAUUAAUCAGAAAAGGAUUGGGUUUCCAGGGGGCUUUAUUUAAAACUUUUCUCAGCUCCCUUGGCCCAUCUGUGUUAAAAUGUUAAAAUAGAAAUAAUAUUUUAAGGACAAGGCGUUAAUUUAGGGAAUGACUUUUAUUUCGCUAAUUUAAGACUGCAGCAUUGCAGGCUGCAUAGGAGACUCCUGCUCUAGUGUGCUGAGAGAUGGCUUUCAGGCAAGGAGAAUGAUGUCUUAAGUUGCUAAGAGAGACAGAUGACAGUUGGGGGACUGAGUUGUGAAUACAGUAAAAAAUUUGACUUUCUGUUUUCAUAUGGACAGAUAAAGAAAAAAGCACAUUAAAACUCUCUGCUUCUGUAAAGUACCAGAUCUCAGGUUUAGCUUCAGCCGGGUGCUGCUAGAUAGUGCUACACGCUAAUUAUGAAGUAGUUUUUGCCUUAGUUAUGUAUCACUUCCUGUUUCUAUUAAAAUACAUACAAAUCUUUGGCAAUUCCUUCUGCACAUUUCUGCAAGGAGAGCACAUGGUUAACAGGCAGGCUUCAGCUGUUAGUUUUCUUUAGGGCUUUGGCAAUGAGAUGACUUUGCAGAGAGACAUUUACCAGGAAACACAUGUCUAAUUUCACAAUUAGCCUGUUUUGCCUUGUAUCUAAACUAGCUCAAAAACUGUUAAGCUUCCAACUGGUUACAGAGGGAGGAGAGAGUUGUGUACAAAUAAAAUCACAGCUAAUUACUCAGGCUAAAUCUAGUGUGUACAGCUUAAAUUUUAGUAUCAGUGUUAUUCAAAGUAUUGCUUAUUCUGGGCCCUACAGUGUAAUGUGUGGAAUUAUAACAGACACUUUAUUAAGGAUAAAACAUUUCUGGGGUUUAAGAAAUGAUGGAUCCAGGUUUUUAUUUAGCAGAGUGUUUCCUUUUAUAUUAGAUUCUUGCUUUGGCAUUUCUGAAGGUGAUUUGAAGGUUAUACUCAUCAGUGAAUUUGUAUGAAAACUUUUUCCAAGAAAAGCUGUAGCAGAAUUCUUCUUCUUCUUCUUCUUUUUUUUGCUCAUGUUUUCAAAAGCAUUUACCACCUUAACAUUGUAUACAGACAGAAAUGUUUUUGUACUUUUUAAAGACCUAAUGGCACUAAGGCUAUGAAAUCCUCUUAAAAUAUUAAUAAGAGAAAAUAAACAUGGAAAUGUAUCUGAGUUUAUGACACUAUUGAGGGAGUUGAAUUUACUGUAAUAUUUCUGUAAGCUAUUCUAAAUAGGGCAGCUGUACAUAAGACUUAGAAGUAAGGGGUUUAAUGAAAUUGUCUCUGGAUUGUUGUUUCAUAAGCUAUUGUCCGUUUGAAUCACUUUCUAGAAAAGUACAGAGCAUGUUCCAUUCCAUAAGAUCCUUUGGUAGGAAAAGAGCCAAUGCUAGAUUUUGAGUUAAGAGAUUGCCACUGUGAGGUCCUCUUAAGGUCUAUGUAAUGGUAAAUGGUGAAAUAUUUUUUGCAUAAGAAGUUUAUUAUUGGAUAAAAAAAUAAAGAUAAAAACAAGGCAUUCUCUCUCUUGGUUCCUUGUAUUUCUCCUUUCAGUUUUAGUGCCUGUGCUGCCCAAGUGAGCAUAGUAUAUUUCUUCUUUUAAAGAAAAAAAGUACACAUUUUGCAAGGAGGAUGGUAUGUGCGAAUGCAGUAGCAAGCCAGAGACUCAGAAGGGAGGCUGCCGCUGUAGAUCUGUAGGCUACAUCGAGCCAAGACGUGAUGAUCUGUCCUUUUGCCCAGCCUUCUGUGACGUCUUGAGUCUGGUCCUUUUGCUUGGGAUCUGACUCUAAAACUCAUGAUAAAUAAUUAUUUAUACGUUGACUUUGGUUAUUUAUUUAAAGUGUUAUUGUUGUAGAAGAUUAGGAGUUUGGUUUGCUGCAAUGGAAACAUAAGGAAAAAGAAAACUCCAGUACUUUUUUGUGCUCCAACCUUGGGGUGUUAAACUUUAGGAGCAGAUGUGGCUUUUCUUGUUUGUUCUUGUUUCAGAUGCUGAAAGCAAAAUAAAAGUACCCUCAGGGUAAAAAGGCUGUUUCUUGCUGGGAACAUUGGGACAUGAAUAUAUGUCCCUAUUGUUUUUAAUUAAAGCAAAUUCAUCUGGAGCAGUGUCGCUUUUCUGACACUGAGCCAUCAAAAUAGAAUCUGUUUCUGUUGACAAAUAUUCUUUGCAUUGAGUAUUGCUUCAUAUUGCUGUCAGUGGUGGCUUUUGUGCAGUUAAUUAUGAUGGCUUUUAUGAAAUUAAUUAAAAUAUUUAUAAAACUUAGUAUAUUUCAUCUUUAUGUGUUCCAAAUACUAACUUGAACAGUUUUGAAUCUCUCUGUCUGGAAAUUUCAUGUUUUACGGGGAAACGUGUAGCUUCUCAGCCUUAACAUAGCUCGCUGAUUUUUUGCUGUGUAAUCCUUUCACCAGUGACUCAGUUCUGUGAGAGUCAGAGGAGAAACACUUAGAAUUUUAAAAAGGUAAUAGAGCCUUGCUAACAGUGAUUCUAAAAAUAAAACUCCGUAGAUGCAUUUAAAAUACUGCUGUAUUAAUUUUGAGCAUGUUUUUAAUUGAUCAUGUUGGCUUUACUUCUAAAGUGGCAGCGUUUAGUAUGUUGAGUACUUGAAUUUUUAAAACUGCACAGCACAUGUACCAAUUCAGCCCCCUAACAGUUACUGCAGAUCUCAUUCCUAGCUUACCAGGGCCUGACUUAGCAAGAGACAUCAUUCUUGUAUUAGAGACUCUUAAUUAAAGUGAGCUUUGUUAAGCUGCUGCAGAUCAAGGAUCUAAUACCCUUGGAUUGAAUAUCUGAAAAGAAUUAAACCCAAGGACAUAAAGGGGAAAAGUCCCACCUAAUAAUUAAGUGCCACUGUCCGAGGCCUGGGUUCUUUUUACACAGCCUUGGCAAUUCUGAAAAGCAGUGCUUUUUCUCAGUCCUCUGAAAAUGGUCCCAUCAUCAGAGCUUGUUCCUCUCCCUUGCAUUGCCAAACUUUAUUUAUUUUAGGGUAUUUUUAGGGGAUAAAUUCACAAAAUGCAGAGAGACAGUAAUUUAUGUGUUCUAGAUUUUAUCUCUGCAAUUUAAAUAUAGAGAGGAUCUUUCUGUUUAUGAAAUUCCAUGCCCCAUUUUGUAAACUCAAUGUGUCUGAGUGUGCUAUGUGCUAACUUUAGAAGCAGGAAGGUGGUACUGUAUACCACGAGGUCUGGGUUCUACCUAGGUAUUUUGCUUGAAUUUUCUACUUUAAAGAAGAUUUUUAAAGUCCCUUUCAAUGAAGACCAAUAAAAUAAUAAUGAUGCUAAUAGUAAUAAUAGAUCAAGGAAGCCUAAUUGGGUGUGAGACUAACUUCUGUCCCUUUUCCUGUUUGCCUCUCUCUCCUGGGUAACUGAACCGAAAGCCAUUACGAAGCUGAAGAUCAAGGUAUGACUCACACUGUGCCUGUGGGAGGCGGCAACUUGUAACUGGGCUGAAAUACUAUUGAUAACGGCACCCUGAAUCCCCAAGCUGUCAUUGUCAUUACUACCAUCAGAGUUCUGCAUGCGAGCAAUGCUUUAUAUCAGAGUCAUAAAACAAAAACAGAAGCAGACCAAACUAUGUUGUUGUCUUCUAGCCUGAGGACCGAGAAGAGACUGGGGAGGGCACAAGUUAUUAUUAUUCUUAGUUUACGGUGGAUUAAGUUGCUUCAGAGAUUUCUCCAAGACCAUCCAUCUGUAUGCCAGACAUUGUGAUCAACACUGAAAAAUUAGAAGCAAAUAAGACUGAGCCUCUGCUUUGGAGAAACCACAAGGGAGAGAGACAAGGUGUCCUGGUGCGGCAGUCUGUGGCUGGAUGCCAUCAUAGGGAAAGAUCAGUGACAUGCAGGACACUUGAUGUACACUCACUUUGAUCCUGCAAAUGCCACUGUAAGAUCUGUGGCCUCGCCCUGUCAUCAUAGAGAUAAGAUUUCUUCCUGGACCUCACUGAAGAGUCUGUCAGAUCAUAUAAAUCACCCUCAGCACCUGGGGAGGUCUGGGGUGAGCUCUGUGUAUGAAGCAGUCAGCCCACCACAUCUGUUCAAUGGUUUGGAUCUGGAACAUCCCCAAAGACCUAUGUGCAGCAGGCUUGGUACCCAGCUGGUGGCACCAGUGAGAAGUGGUGUAGGCUAUAGCAGGAGCCCAGCUGGAAGAAGUAGGUUAGGAUACCAUAACCUUGAAGGUGUGCUGGGGACUCUGGUCCCUUUGCAUUUCUUUUUUUCUUUCUUUCUUUGCCAUCUUGAGGGGAACAGCUUUGUUCUGCCAUGCAUUUUCCCCAGGAUGCACUGCCUUGCCAUAGUCUUAGGAACCACUGGACCAAGCAACCAUACACCAAAAGCUCUCAAGCUGGGAACCAAAAUAAAUCUGUUUUCCUUUUAACUUUCUUAUGUCAUUUUGUCAUAGGGAGAAGGCUGCUGUACACAAUCUAUGUCACCAAGAACAGAGUGACCUGCCAAAUUUUGGUCUCCUUGCUCACAAGAGAGCUUGAAUAAUUGGUAUCAUGGUGUUCUUCUACUUAUGCUGCAUUUGUUUACUGGAGCUGGGGGAGAAUCUACUUUUCUGGAUGUCAUAUGGCUUGUCUUAUUUGUGCCUCUGAUCCUCAUAGAGUGCUGUGAGAUGAAAAUGUUGGUGAACACAAGAAAGGUGUGGUUGGCUUUGUCUUGGUCACUACUGAUACCAUAGGCUGUUGGCAGUAGACAAAAAAAAAAAAUCGACUCAAGAUCACCUGGUAUUAGUUUAUAUACAGGAAAAUGUAAAAUGUAAAUGACUUGUUCAAGGUUAUCCUCUGAGUAAACAGUUGAUUUAGGAAUCCAAA